GUUGAGAUGGCCUAGUUGGUCUAAGGUGCCAGAUUAAGGUUCUGGUCUGAAAGAAUUAAGGUUCAAAUUCCACUCUCAACA
rnacentral:tRNA from 1 species